GAUGAAGAACGUAGCGAAAUGCGAUACUUGGUGUGAAUUGCAGAAUCCCGCGAAUCAUCGAGUUUUUGAACGCAAGUUGCGCCCGAAGCCAUUCGGCCGAGGGCACGUCUGCCUGGGUGUCACGCAACGUUGCCCCCCCAAACUCCGGUUCGGGCGGGGCGGAAGUUGGCCUCCCGUGCGUGCCUGCGCGCGCGGUUAGCCCAAAAGCGAGUCCUCGGCGAUGAGCGCCACGACAAUCGGUGGUUUUUUUACCCUCGUUCCUCGUCGUGCGUGCCCCGUCGCCCGAACGCGCUCUUGCAACCCUUACGCGUCGCCUCGGUGGCGCUCCCAACGCGACCCCAGGUCAGGCGGGACUACCCGCUGAGUUUAAGCAUAUCAAUAAGCGGAGGA
rnacentral:misc_RNA from 1 species